AGAGUUUGAUCCUGGCUCAGAUUGAACGCUGGCGGCAGGCCUAACACAUGCAAGUCGAGCGGUAGAGAGAAGCUUGCUUCUCUUGAGAGCGGCGGACGGGUGAGUAAUGCCUAGGAAUCUGCCUGGUAGUGGGGGAUAACGUUCGGAAACGGACGCUAAUACCGCAUACGUCCUACGGGAGAAAGCAGGGGACCUUCGGGCCUUGCGCUAUCAGAUGAGCCUAGGUCGGAUUAGCUAGUUGGUGAGGUAAUGGCUCACCAAGGCGACGAUCCGUAACUGGUCUGAGAGGAUGAUCAGUCACACUGGAACUGAGACACGGUCCAGACUCCUACGGGAGGCAGCAGUGGGGAAUAUUGGACAAUGGGCGAAAGCCUGAUCCAGCCAUGCCGCGUGUGUGAAGAAGGUCUUCGGAUUGUAAAGCACUUUAAGUUGGGAGGAAGGGCAGUAAAUUAAUACUUUGCUGUUUUGACGUUACCGACAGAAUAAGCACCGGCUAACUCUGUGCCAGCAGCCGCGGUAAUACAGAGGGUGCAAGCGUUAAUCGGAAUUACUGGGCGUAAAGCGCGCGUAGGUGGUUUGUUAAGUUGGAUGUGAAAUCCCCGGGCUCAACCUGGGAACUGCAUUCAAAACUGACUGACUAGAGUAUGGUAGAGGGUGGUGGAAUUUCCUGUGUAGCGGUGAAAUGCGUAGAUAUAGGAAGGAACACCAGUGGCGAAGGCGACCACCUGGACUAAUACUGACACUGAGGUGCGAAAGCGUGGGGAGCAGACAGGAUUAGAUACCCUGGUAGUCCACGCCGUAAACGAUGUCAACUAGCCGUUGGAAGCCUUGAGCUUUUAGUGGCGCAGCUAACGCAUUAAGUUGACCGCCUGGGGAGUACGGCCGCAAGGUUAAAACUCAAAUGAAUUGACGGGGGCCCGCACAAGCGGUGGAGCACGUGGUUUAAUUCGAAGCAACGCGAAGAACCUUACCAGGCCUUGACAUCCAAUGAACUUUCUAGAGAUAGAUUGGUGCCUUCGGGAACAUUGAGACAGGUGCUGCAUGGCUGUCGUCAGCUCGUGUCGUGAGAUGUUGGGUUAAGUCCCGUAACGAGCGCAACCCUUGUCCUUAGUUACCAGCACGUAAUGGUGGGCACUCUAAGGAGACUGCCGGUGACAAACCGGAGGAAGGUGGGGAUGACGUCAAGUCAUCAUGGCCCUUACGGCCUGGGCUACACACGUGCUACAAUGGUCGGUACAGAGGGUUGCCAAGCCGCGAGGUGGAGCUAAUCCCAUAAAACCGAUCGUAGUCCGGAUCGCAGUCUGCAACUCGACUGCGUGAAGUCGGAAUCGCUAGUAAUCGCGAAUCAGAAUGUCGCGGUGAAUACGUUCCCGGGCCUUGCACUAACCGCCCGUC
rnacentral:rRNA from 1 species